AUGGCCGCGGAGUCUGCCUGGUGCUGGCCGUGGCUCAGCUCCGGCACGGCGUGGUUCCUCUUCUUCAACGUCUUCGUCGGCGCCGUGGCCGUCCUGUCCUGGCGGCAGGGCAGCGACCCGGAGAUGUCGAGGCGGAGGAGGCUCACCCGGAGCGCGUCGUCCAUGGUCAUGGAGCGCCUCCGCUCCAUGUCCGUCUUCGCCGCCUUCCACUCCGUGCCCGAGCACGACUACGGCAGCGGCCUCACACCGCCGGCGUGGGAAGAGUACUACACGUCGCCGGAAGAGGGAGGAGAGGAGACCGGGCACGCGGUGAAGCAGCCGGAGCCGGCCCUACCGGCGGUGACCGUCGCUCCAUCGACACCGAGCGCUCCUGAUGCAGCUGCAGCUACACAGGCUUCGAUGUCAGGGAGCGACGACAGGGCAAAAGCAGGGACGCGGACGGAGAUGUCUGGAUGCUUGGGAGAUGCGUGCGCGGUAGUAGUGGCCCGGCAGCGAGACGCGCCGGAGCCGGAGCCAACGCCAGUGGCGGCCACCGCCAAGGGUGCUACGACGGAGAGGCCGAGGAAGCGGGGGCCGGCGAAGGUGGCGGCGAUCGUCCAGCGGCGCGCGCACGCGGAGCUGGAAGAGAAGGCGGAGGUGAACGCGCAAGCCGAGCGCUUCAUCCGGCAGUUCCGGGAGGAGCUCAAGCUGGAGCGCAUCAAGUCCAUCCUCAACCACGCCCGCGCCGGCGCCGCCACAUCGGCACGGUAG
rnacentral:rRNA from 1 species